UAUGAUAUAUAGGUGGCAUUCUUUGGGCCACUCUACCCCCUCCUGUUUGAUAACUUGGAAACGGUCGAGCUUCCCACCCCUAAACCAUAUGAGGGGCAGAUCCAGGAUUUUAGGUUAGGAGGGCGCAAACUUAAAUUUUCGCCGAGCAGAGCGAGGCUAAAAAAAAAAUUGAGGUAAAAUUAUCGGAAUAUUCUUUAUUAAGCUGAGAACAACCCAUGCUUUGCAUAAAAAAAAUGCAUAUAUAUUCAUGUUUGUGACAAUAUGAAAAAUCAAAUGAAAUAUAGGAAGAGUCGCUGGGGGUCACCCCACCCUUCCUGUUUUUAGAAUUUAAAAAUGGUCAGAUCCCCACCCCUAAACCAUAUAUAUUCAUGUAUGGGACAAUAUAACAAAAUCAGAUGAAAUAUAGGGGGAGUCCCUUGGGUCACCCCACCCCCUCCUGUUUGAGAAUUUGAAACCCGUUGAGAUCGCCACCCCUUAACCAUAUAUUCAUGUACGGGACAAUAUAACAAUUCAAAUGAAAGAUAGGGGAGUCCCUGAGGUCACUGUACACCCUCCUGUUUGAGAACUUGGAAAUGGUCAAGAUCCUUACCCC
rnacentral:lncRNA from 1 species